ACCUGGAUAGCUCAGUUGGUUAGAGUGUGGUGUUGAUAAUGGCAAAGUUGCAGGUUUGAUCCCCACAAGGGA